GAGGGCAAAGAAGAGAAGGAAGGAGAGCCAUCUUUGAUGAGAUUAGGGCAACACUUCUUGGUCAUGUGAUCAACCACGGUUUAGACCAUGAGAGAGGCUGGACUGAGAGUCCAGCACAACUUGAGUCGAUUUACAGUGGCGUCCAUAAUUCGAACAUUCAGAAAUGAGAACAGUUUGAAUUCUGUACAGAGUGGAGAGGCAAAGACAUGAUGGAGGAUGAGGACAGAUGUACAAGAGAAUGCAAUUAUAAAUAUGGUUUUGGCCAACAAUGCAAUUAGGAUUCGAGAGAUAAGAGACCAUAUCUUGAAUAAUGACACCAUAUUUAACAACAUCAAUGAUGUAAGCCUGUCGACCAUACAACGCAUCCUCCAACAGCACCGAGCGACGAUGAAACAACUUUACAAGAGAGUAUUGGAGUUGGAUGCCCAUGUAAUUGACUUCAACCUCACCAAAACCAGGUGCCGCGGAAGAAAUGUAAUAGGACCGAGGGCAG